rnacentral:rRNA from 1 species
UACGUAGGGGGCAAGCGUUGUCCGGAAUCAUUGGGCGUAAAGAGCGUGUAGGCGGCCCGAUAAGUCCGCUGUGAAAGUCCAGGGCUCAACCCUGGAAUGCCGGUGGAUACUGUCGGGCUCGAAUCCGGAAGAGGUGAGUGGAAUUCCUGGUGUAGCAGUGAAAUGCGCAGAUAUCAGGAGGAACACCAAUGGCGAAGGCAGCUCACUGGGACGGUAUUGACGCUGAGACGCGAAAGCGUGGGGAGCAAACAGG